rnacentral:rRNA from 1 species
UACGUAGGGUGCGAGCGUUGUCCGGAAUUAUUGGGCGUAAAGGGCUCGUAGGCGGUUUGCCGCGUCGGGAGUGAAAACACCGGGCUUAACUCGGUGCUUGCUUCCGAUACGGGCAGACUAGAGGUAUGCAGGGGAGAACGGAAUUCCUGGUGUAGCGGUGAAAUGCGCAGAUAUCAGGAGGAACACCGGUGGCGAAGGCGGGUCUCUGGGCCGUAACUGACGCUGAGGAGCGAAAGCAUGGGGAGCGAACAGG